rnacentral:misc_RNA from 1 species
AAAUUUAGUAAAUAAAGAUGGCGGCAAAGACGAAGUCGUGUUGUAGAUCGCUCUCGUUGAUAAUUUCAAUAAAAUGAUAUUAAAAGGUGUAAAAAAAUUAUAAAUUACCCUUAAAACACGGGUGUCGGAUACCUGCUGUUUAUUAUUUAUUUAAAUAAAGAGUACUUUCAGUGUAAAUACUGUGAUUUUAUAAAUAUAUAUCGGGUGUACCAUAUAUUUAGUGGUCUGAAGAAAAAAAGGCAUCUCGGGUAGAGUGAGGAAAAAAAUAAAAUAAAAUUUAUAAAAAGAAGAGAACGAGAGAGAUAGAAGAGGAAGAAACGAGCAACUAAGACGAAUAAGAAAAUAAUUUAGCUCCAGAGUUCACGAUAGAAGAAAGUAAUAAAAUAUUUAAAAAUGGUUGUCGGAGAGCCAAGUAUCCACAAUAUUAUGAGUGGGAUGGAGAGUACAGGAGGUGUACGACUGCACAAUCACAAACGGAAAUUGAAACAAAGGUUUGAUAUUAUCAAGAAACUGGGUCAAGGUACCUACGGGAAAGUACAAUUGGGAAUAAACAAAGAGACUGGACAAGAGGUAGCUAUUAAAACAAUUAAAAAAUGCAAAAUUGAAACAGAAGCUGAUCUGAUAAGGAUAAGACGUGAAAUUCAAAUUAUGUCGAGUGUUCAGCACCCAAACAUUAUUCACAUUUACGAAGUAUUUGAGAAUCGUGAGAAGAUGGUACUUGUAAUGGAGUAUGCAGCAGGUGGUGAGCUUUACGACUACCUAAGUGAACGUAAAGUGCUCUCUGAGGAAGAAGCCCGUCGGAUAUUCCGUCAAAUUUCAAUAGCGGUGUUCUAUUGUCAUAAACAUAAAAUUUGUCACCGUGAUUUAAAGUUAGAAAAUAUUCUAUUGGAUCAUUUGGGGAAUGCUAAAAUUGCAGACUUUGGUUUGUCGAAUGUUUUUGAUGAACAACGACUGUUGAAUACUUUUUGCGGUAGCCCUCUUUACGCUAGUCCUGAGAUAGUUAAAGGUACACCGUACCACGGUCCAGAAGUUGACUGCUGGAGUCUCGGUGUUUUACUUUACACGCUAGUCUACGGUGCUAUGCCGUUUGAUGGUUCUAAUUUCAAAAGACUUACAAGACAAAUAUCUGCAUCUGAUUAUUUUGAGCCGAAAAAUCCAUCACCAGCUUCACCUUUAAUCAGAGAUAUGUUAACUAAGUGUCCUGCUAGGAGGGCUGAUAUUGAAAGGAUAUGCUGUCAUUGGUGGGUUAAUGAGGGAUAUGAGCAAAAUUGUCUUGAUAUUGCUGAAGAUUUAGCCGCCCAGACGCCAGUUAGACUCGAUUUAUUGCUAUCCUUGGUACCGCAAUCGGCUAGCGCUGACAAAUUAGUCGUCACGAAUGAUCAAUCGCCUGAGACUGGUAGAAAUAUCGGCACGGACACGAUACCGCCUACUCGGUGUCUUUCUGUUGGCAGCCUCAUGGAUCUCGAUAGAAAUAAUUCGGAUCGGAUUCGAGAGAUGGUGGCUGAAGAGGAAUCUCCGAGGACAAAUGCUAAUGACACUAAGAGGAAAUUGGAGAACACGCCUUCAAUGGAAGAAAAUGUUGAAGCAGGUGUUAAGAAGAAAGAUCGGUCGAGAAGAAAAGAACGGACUGAUGAUAGAGAGCCAAGAUCUUAUAAGUCUACUUCAAGACAUCAUUCCGCUCCCAUAACUAAUGCUAUUACUGAAGAGGCUAUGGAAGUUGAACCCAGUGUUGAGUUGGAUCUUCGAGACCCGGCUGCUGCUGCUGCUUGUUUAGAACUUAUUCGUGAAGCUCAGUCGAAGUCGCCGAGCAAGGAACGAAGUAGAACUCCUGUUCCGUUGGAAGAAAAAGUUCAAACGAGUGAGCAACAAGUUUUUAAGGAAAAUUUCAAUGAUAGUAAUCAAGAUGUUAAGCCAAUUGCUAAUAAAUUGGAUAAUGUAGCGGAUAAUUCUGGAGAAAAACAAUCUGUUGAUCAGGUAAUAAAUAAAACUCAGGUUAAAAAUAAGUCAGUAAAAUCUAAAACUAAUGAUGUAGUGAAGAAUAUUAAUGAUAAUGCUUCCAAACAAGAUGUGCCAAGUAAAGACACUGAAUUAACACAGAAAAUAAAUUCAGAAGGUGGUGAAAAAAUUUCUACUCCUACGGAGGAAAAAGCUGAGAUGAAGAAUGAGAAUAAAAAAUUGAAACAAAAAGCACAGUCACUUGAUGAAGAAGCGGUUGCUCCGACUAAGCCAACGGAAAGGAGACGUUCUAAAAUAUUUGAGACAGCUGAAAAGUUCAAUCAACUUUUGUCAGGCAGUGAAUCAGAAAAACCAAAGAAGAUUUUUAUACCUGGUGUUAACGUAGGUGGUGCUAAGCGAGCAUUUGAGCGUAAAGCGAGUCUCUCUUCCGUUACAGUUCCACAGCCCGUUAAGUCAAAUGCGUCUAAGGUAAUAAUAGAUGUGCCUAAUGAUAAAAAUGAUAAAAAAAAUGACAAGGAAGAAAAAUUAACGACUGUAACCAAGUCAGAGUCUUCCUUGACAAAGAAUGAAGAGGAGCGUCGCCGGGAUGAAGAAAAGAAACGAGCUGUUGAUAUUAUCACUGGUGCCUUAGGUAAACCUCCAGUCCAGAAAAAAGUCAAUGGGUCGCCUCCAAUGACUCCCCAGAGUCAAGAGUCGAAAAAUCUUGGUCUGAAGAUUCAAUUGGGACCAAAUGACUUGAGAAAUGCUACGGUAUCAGUGUCUACUCCCGUAGACACUAAGUAUCCAGACUUUGAAUCUUCUCCAGUGAAACCUGCUGCUGUAGCAAAUUCAGUGCCAACUACUCCCGAGUCAAAGAGUGUCAAUAAUUCGUUCUCCGACGAGCCAACAAUGUCAAGUAAGAUGGAGAUAAAACUCAAGAGUGCGACAUUACCUCGACCGAGAAAGACUAGCAAAGCAGAAAUUACAUUGGCGGGAGUUAAAGCACCUGAGCCAGCAUUCAAGUCGGAAGUUGAGGCCAAGAUCGAUGCUUUCCAUCCUCAAAAAUUGAGGACUCAAAAGUCUGAAGUCGCGUUCCCUGUAGCUGCGGUUACUUCUCAGGCAAACCGAAGCUCCAGCUUGGAGCCUGAAAGCAGUAAAUCAAAGAUUCUCGGAAAGGAGAGAAUAAUACCGAUACACGUGGAGCCAGGUCAUCAAAUUCAGAACUCAGCGACUCCUCCGAAGCCACCGAUGCCCCAGCGGUCCAUGUCUCAGCGCUCGAAUUCGUUAUCGCGUCAGUCUACUGCAGAUUCAGACACUGACAGCGCUCUUGGCUCAACGGUUGGCCCCGAGCCGAUCAGAAAAAGUCCCAGGGAAUAUAUUAUUCCGAUUGCCGUCGAAGGAGGUGGAUAUGUCACUCCAAGAUCUGGCAGUGUAGAGCCCGAGAGUAAAACAAGCACACCAACCAGCACAAAUCCACCACGAGCGAGGUUCGGAAGAGGCAGAAGAAUGGGCUCUUUGCUUUCAGACGCCAGUGAAGACGAGUCGCCAUUCUCUACACUCCAUCGGGACAGCGAUGAUUUACUCCAAAGACACAUGCAUCGGCUAAGAAGUUCAAGACCCUCUAGACAAGCUCCAGAGCAUGCAGACAGUCUGUCAUCCGGUGAGGAUGACGAUGAUGAUGGCUUUGAGCUUUUGACCGCUGAAAAUUUAUUCUCAACGCUUUUGUCGAGAGUUCGUAGUCUGACCCAACGGCUAAAUGUUGAUGAUAAUCGAGGAACUGGAUUUCCUCGCAGCCGAUUGUUGGAUAGACUAGGUUCUAAUUCCUCUCAAGGAUUCUGGGGAAUGUCCGAACCUCUUUCAAGCUACGAGAGCCACGUUGAAACACAGACGAUAACAACGCGAUUGGCAGAGUCACCAUUCAGACGAUCUCUCAGUCGCGAUACAGACCGAUUUGGACGUAAGGAUUCAGCAAUGUCAUCAAAUCCUGGAACACCCACGAGCCUUGGAGCUCGAACUACGCCAUCACAUGAAAGUAUUUUUGAAUUAGGCAGCAGUAAUACUUUACCACGAGAUAAAUCCCACGAGGUCGAACCACCGGAGUCACGAAAAAAGGAUCAAGAGUCUGAUUCGCGUCCCAAUCCCUCAACAAGUAGCACCCGCGAUAGCUUCACUCCAAGUCUUGCGCGUCGCCUCAGCAGACAGUUUAUUGAACAAACAAGACAAUCAUUGCCAAGGUCACCGUCAAUACCGCGCGACCGACUCUACAGGUCUUCGACAGAGGAGCCAGAUUCUUUGUCAUCGCUGCUGCCAGAUCGUUCGAUGUACCGCAGCAAGUCAAGCGAUAGAAGCUUGAGAAGAACUAACAGUUUAUUGGAGAACGAUCGAGGGGAGAGACCUGAGCUUCGAUGCAGGCGUAGCGUCAGUUUAUUCGAAGAUGAUGAUGAUGAGACACUUCCACCGCUUCCUAGGCAAGUUAUGACUCUUGGACGGAAGUACCGAGACACUGUCAAGGCUGCUGUUAAUGGAAUUCGCCGGGAUAAUAUUUGCUUGGCUGAGAAAAUCCAAGAGGAGCCUACUGAUGAGCUGACAUCACCUAAAAAAAAUUCAAUCCAAGUUCCUGAACAAGCUUCACCUUCUGAAGGAACUUCAGUCUGCAAUUCUGCGACUAAUUUAGGAGAUACCACUUCUAGUUUGUCGACUAAGUCACAAGAAACUUCACCGGGAGAUUCUUCAUCAAAUAUCCAGCAGCAAGAAGAAGCUUUGAACUCUUUUCGCGCUGAUGCUAAAGAAUUUGAGUCCCGGCUUCUAGCUGCUGAGAAUUUAAUUAAAGAGUCAAAAUUACGCAACCUGGGACUCAAUAAAUUUGACCCUAAUUUGAGUUCUAGUUACAAAGAAACUGAAAAGUGUGAUAAACAGUUACUGGGGUCUAUGACUGAUUUAACAAGUGGUGUUUUAAAUAAACGACGUAGCUGCAUACCGAGUUUAAGAUUGCGCUCUGGGUCUUUGACUCGAGAAGCUAUGGGUCGCAGGAGCACUUUGACUUCUCCUGAACCGGUUGAUAUUCGCGCUGCAACUCCUGAGAGAUCUUUACUUAGUAAACUUUUCCGCUCUGGAAGUGUGAGUCGUGAGCGAGACUCUGAGAGUAAGGACAAGUCUCCUAAAACUAAGCGAAGGAUUUCAAGAUUUUUGAGGCCUGACUUUUUUGAUACUCCUAGGGAAGAAAGUCAGUAUGUUAAGGAUAAGGAAGCUCAGAAGGCGGCUGAAAAUGAAAGAAGAAAAUCGAGGUUUAUGAAGAGAAAGGAGAAUAAAGAUGUUGAAGAUGUUAAAGAGAAAGAAGAAAAGCCUGAGAAAGAAUUGAAGAAUCAAGCUAAUGAAAUUACGAGGGAUCAAAGUGAUUUGAUUAAUUUUAAUAAGAUGAAUAAUUCUAAUGUUGAUAAUUCAAGCGCGGAUAAAUUAGAAAGACAAAAUUCUAAAAAUAGUUUCUUCCAGACUUUAGAGAAGAAAUUAGAAAAGCUUAGAUCUAAUGAUGAGUCACAAAAGGUGGAAAGUGAGCCUUUGAAGGUACAAAUAGAGGAUGAUUUGCAGAAAAUUAAUGGUGAUGUUAAAGAAGAAAUAAAUAACGUUGUGGAGAAUGUAAGUGAAGAAGUUAUAAAAAAAGUAGCAAGUAUGGAAGAUUUAACGAGUGAGCCGGCUCCUGCGGUGAAAUCAAAAGUUUCAAGUGUGCUGGGGCUUUUUAGAAAUGAUUCUAAGUCUGCAGUCAAUGGGGGAAGACAACAAACUUUGCUGAGCAAGCUGAAGAAAAAUGUUUAUCGCGGGUCACGUUCUGACAGUGUAUUGACUUCUGAAGCUUCUAGUAAAAUUCCCAAGGCUAAAGCUGAAGUUAAAGCUGGAGAAAUCAAGCCUAGGAGAAGUUUAGAGCUCAAAAGAUCGCCUGAGAAAGUUGGGGAUAAAAAAUCUCCUCCGAAGGAUAAGGAGAAGGAUAAGGUUAAGGAAAAAAGUCCGGCUGAGAGAGCUAGUGUAGAGCGAAAGUCGCUUGAGAAGCAAAUAAAGUCUCCGAAGAAAUUGACUCCGGAAAAGUCGAUUGAGAUUGUUAAAACAGAGAAGACAAAUUUACCGGAGAAGGAGGUGAGGAAGUCGAAAUCUCCGGAAAUUAAAGUUGAUAAAACUUUGUCGAGUUCAAAGUUAGCUAAGAAAAUAUCUCCGGAUAAGGUUGUUGAUAAUAAGAAAGUCGAGGGGAAGAGUAUUGAAGCUGAUGAGAAGAAAUUGAAGAAGAAGAGUGUUAAGUCAUUGAGUUCGGCUACGAAAAAUGGGUCAGUUAAAUUGGAGAAAGUUGACAAAGAUGAGGAUAAAAAAUCUGAUAAAGUUAAAAAGGUCGUGAAGAAAGAAGUCAUUGAGAAAGAUGCAGAUGGAACUAAGAAGAAGAAAAUAGUUAGGGUUGUUAAAAAGGUUGUUAAAAAAUCAGAAAGUUCUUCUGAGAAACCUGAAGAAAAGGAAAAAGAUAAAGAGAAGAAAACUUUGUUGAAAAAAAUUACUUCGAGUGUGAAAAAAGAAACUAGUCCUGAAGCGGAUAAAGGGAAGAAAAUGGAAAAUAUUGAUUCAGGAUUGAUAAAUUGUGAAACUUCUUCAAAUUGUCUUGAAAAUCUUUCUAAUAAUAUUAGUUCUGUAAUUCCAAGCGUUAAAGAUCACAGUGAGCAAGAUAAUUCUAAGAUAUCUUCUAAUGAUUUAAAUCCAAACAUUUCUAACAAUUUAGAUGGGAAGAUACCCGUUAAUAACAUAGAUAGCAAAAUAAUUAGCAAAAACUUUGAUACAAAGUCGCUUAACAAAGAUUUAGACCUAAAUAGAUGCGAAGAAAAUACAAAAGUAAUUGAGAAAAGUCCUGAUUUAAAAGUUUCUAGCAAAGAUUUGGAUACAAAAAUAUUUUCUAAUGAUCAGGAUACAAAAAUAAUAAGUCAGGAUUGUAAUAUUAAGACACCUAGUGAAGUUUUGAAUAUAAAUAUUCCUAGUAAUGGCUUGGAUGUGAUAAUAUCUAGUAAUAAUUUGGAAGAAGAAAUGCUAAAUAAUGAUUUAGUAAAAAAAAUUUCUAAUGAUCAGGAAGAAAUUAAAGAUUUGGAUAGCAAAGCACGAGCAAAUAGAAGUAAUUUGAAGCUGGAUUUAUCUAAAAUACCUCAACAUUCAUUUAAAAAUGGCGCUGCAAAAAAGGACAUCAAGGAUCCUGAAUUUUCAGAAAAACCAGAUAAUUCUUUGAAGAUUCAGUCUAUUGUAGCGAAAGAAAAAGUUGUUACUGAAAAGCCACCUAAAGGAGCAGAUUUUGUUCGCCAGCUGAGUUCCAUUCGGCCUGAAGAAGACCCUAAGGUGGCUUUGAAGCCUGAGACUGAAAGAACAAAGCAAGAAAAUUCAAUUACAUCAACUUAUCCAACUGAAGACAUUUUGUCGCCGAUGGACGACGUGGAGAGCUUUGACUCCUGGUCAAUCUGUUCCAACGACAUGAAUCACCGAAGCAGUUUAGACUUGUGUUCGCCUACUUCGCCGGUUUAUUCUCCGUCAGUUCGCAGCGAGCAUUCAGAGUCAAUAAUUGACCGAAUUCGCAGAAAAAGUUUCUACUCCCGAUUUAACGAGCGGAAACGCAAGAGUUCUUUGUCUGUACCUUCAUCAGGACUUUCGCCGAGUUCAACUCUGCCUCGCAAAUUUAGCUUCCACUCUCGAGAUAGUAAAAAUUUGAGCUACUCCUCGCCUUCGAGAAGAAAUCCGGAGAGGACUCACAGUUUGUACAACGAAGACUUGCCCAGUAUGAGAAAGUCGCCCGUAGAACGCGAUAGGUACUCGGAUGGUGCUUAUCCCAGUGAUUUAAAGUCUCCCGUAGAUCAUUACAAUACUUCUUCUUCUUUGUACUAUGAUCCUCUGAGACGUUAUAGAAUGUCUCCUGGUAAUUCGGCUAAUCGAAAGUACCAGAGCACUGAUUAUGGGCUUGAUAAUGACUUGAAUAUGUACAAAAAUCCUCAGAGCACUUCUUCUUCUUCCUCUUCAACUUUAAAUGAUGUCAGCGACUAUCGCAGUAGUACCCUGAGAAAAUACGGGAAAAAUCAACACAAAACUGCUGAUUAUUAUGAAGAUCUUCUUGCUCCAUCAAGGAUUGACUAUCUUUCAGCCCGAAAAACAUCUCCUUUACCAACAGAAUCACUGGGAAGAAAUGAAAACGGACAUUACAACGGGCAUUUUCAUCAGACAUCAGAUUCUGACAAAUGGAGAUACUCGGAUAAAAUUAGCAGUCCUGAUUCUCCUGAAAACAGUGAUAAAAGUUGCGGAGAUGAUCUUAAGAGUAAUAGUCAAACAAUUGAAGAAUCUAAAGAAUUAUCAGCAGCUUGUCCUGACGCUGAGACAACGACUUAAAGAAGAAAUGAUAAUUUAUAAAACUCGUGCCAAAAAAUCUAAACUAAGGCUUUAAUUGCUUGCUACAUAAAAUUUACGAUAAAUCAAAUGGUGAAAAAAAUCAAAAAGGACAUUUUUUUCUAUGUACUUAAAAGAAGAAACAAAAAA